UGUCAGAGAGCACCAGGCAGGACUGUUCAACUAAAAAAAAUUAAUUUGGUCAAAAAUAUAUUUUACCCUUUCAGUAUAACAUACUGACCGGGAAUAUAUAAUUUUUUUUAUUUUUUGUGAAUUUGACUUUUUUUUAUGAAAUUCAAUAUAAGCGCUCAAACUGCGAAUUUUCAUUGAAAUGUAUGGGGGAAAAGCCCGUUUCUAACCGUUU
rnacentral:lncRNA from 1 species